GUUAAAACGCUCGUAGUCGGAUUUCGGGGCGGGGCCGCCGGUCUGCCGAUGGGUAUGCACUGGCGGUCGCGUCCUUCCUUCCGGAGACUGGCCCUACUCUUAGCUGAGCGGGGUCGGGAGUCGGAUCGUUUACUUUGAAAAAAUCAGAGUGUUUCAAGCAGGCAGCUCGCUCUUGCAUGGAUUAGCAUGGGAUAAUGAAAUAGGACUUUGGUGCUAUUUUGUUGGUUUCGAACACCGAAGUAAUGAUUAACAGGGACAGUCAGGGGCACUCGUAUUCCGCCGAGAGAGGUGAAAUUCUCAGACCAGCGGAAGACGAACCACUGCGAAAGCAUUUGCCAGGGAUGUUUUCACUGAUCAAGAACGAAAGUUAGGGGAUCGAAGACGAUCAGAUACCGUCGUAGUCUUAACC
rnacentral:rRNA from 1 species